UAUACAAUUCACGUCGGCCUUAACUACAGUUCCGGUUUCUCGGUAUAUAUAACGUGCAUCUGCCGGUUUAGGCCACGUCCCUCACAUCGGUUACCUGCAAAACCCUAGCCUUGCUCGACACCAUCUAUAGCCCUAAUCAAACUCUACGGCGACGGAAUCGUCCUCAAUAUCGAAGAUCCAAUCAAAUAGAAUAACACCAGGAAGAACCCGCUGGAACAGGGGCAUAAGCCAUAGACGGUCACCGAAACAGGGUGACCGGCCGUAGGCUUUGGCCGGAUCCCCUUCCGUUCACGCUUUCUCUCUCUUUCGCUUCGAUUCUCUUUCUUUCCUCUUCUCCCUUUGGCCGAUUCUCUUGUGUGUUUUUUAGAUUUUUUUAGGUUUAACCGAAGGAGACACUGAGGUUAUAGACGUCAGCAACUAAGGUAUUCCAACAGAAUUCCGGUGGAUAAGAUCUGUCGUCCGUGUCCCGUUUUUAUGUACAUCGACAAACACCGAGGUACCGCUAUCGUAACUUCCGACUCUAUUGCUUCGGACAACUGAUGCUUAGAUCUUGACCUGCUGGUAGAUGAUACCUUUUAUUAUAGGUUUUGACCCACUGGUGUUCGACGGAAUGCUUUUAUACGAUUCUUUGGUUUUAAAAUUUCGACGGUCAGAUAUUAGUAGAUUUUAUUCAUUGCAACAUUUGCUGAGUAUGUACCUUCAUUCAUAGCUGUUAAAGUCGGAGGGCGCUCUUAAGGCGCAAAAAAGUGCACACCAUAUAAAAAAAAGCGCAAGCUCUUUCUGCUAAAUACUUCCAGAUAUUUGUUAGUUAGAACUGGUGAACACUCAUUGUUCAUUACAACAAUGUGACAAGUAAGAAAAUAUAUUUUAAGUAAUAUGAUUUAAAAAAGUGACUUAAUGUGAAAGGUGUAGACAACUUGCAAAGGUCUUGUACAAAAUUCACCAUGACACAACAAAGGUGUAGACCAUAUAUAGGUUCUAUAGUCAAAGCCAUAAGGCGCCCAUUUGGUGCGCAAGCAAGGCGAUGGCGCCUUAGGUAGACCUAAGGUAACGACCUUGCUCUAUGUGCAACAAAAGGUACGCAAAAUUGUUUUAAAAUGUGAUUAUGGUUCUAUAUCAUCAGUUGUCUUUUGUUUUGCUUAUAUUCAGCUCAGGAUCAGAAGAUUGCUUCAGUCAUUAAUCAGUGCACCAUGAAGUAAUUACUAAGCUUUGCUUACAGUUAUGUUAAAAGACUUGAAACUAUGUAUCAGAGUUAAGUUUUAUGUAUAUAUUUUAUUGUAGCCGCUUUGCAAAUACUCAUACAUUUCGUGUCAAAAGACAUCUUGGGAAAAAUAUUCUUUCCUUGCGGUA